CUCCCCCAUGUCGAGUUGAUUGAGAUCGUUCUGUACGUUUUGCAUGCUAGGCUAACGGGUUACGUUUUUUUUUUUUUUUUUGGAAGCAGUUCGGAGAGUAAACAAGAAUGUGUUUGUUCCAUUUGCACUUGCUACAGUUGUUAUGCUUGUAAAGUAGUUACACAAAGCUGUGACUGAAAUAUUGUAUCUUCAUUUUGUACCGGGAACACCUCUGCUGACAUACUUGUGUACGACUGGAAAUUACUACUAUAAGUUUUCAGAAACUGGCACUGCUGAAGGGAAAGCAAGCCCUGAUGGGUCCUUGCACUUUCCGGAUUCACCCAUAGCCUGGAGAGCAAAACUAGCCCAAUCUGACAAACACCGCAACAUUGAGGGGAGCAAAACAACUUUCAAAAGGAUCUGGCUACACAUAUCUGGUAGUUUCCCUGUAAACGAGAGAGGGAAAAAAACUGCAGAUGCAUCCAACGCGGUGGGAAGCGCAUUUGUACUUGAUUGACACAUCUUUUGCCCAAUCCUGACAGCGAUGAUCAUAUGACAAUGGACAAGGGAAAUGUACAGUGGUGAAUUGGAUGGUGGAGAUGGAGGAGGAAAUGCACUCACUUUACGCCACUUUGCUCAGUUAAAGUGAAGCACUCAAAGUUCAUUGUGUUCACACUAUUAUUCCUUCAGCAUCAAAGAACUUUGCAUACUGCCUGCUCCUUUAAAGGUGUUCUGCAAGUAUUGCUGUGGCUGCAUAUUGCCACCAGAUCAUGUAUUUGAGAGUGUGAACUCCUGCACAUUGCACAAGCUGUUGCACGACAUCUGAUUCAGAGUAAAUAAUAUGGAUGAUGUGCUUGGCGACAGGGAACUUGACACCCAAAUAUUCCAUCAGCUACGGACAUAUCUUGCUGAUCUGAUUUACUCAUGGCUUUUGGAAGUGAGCACAGUGUUUGGAGUAUUGUACUACUGUACCUGUUGCUUAUACAGUACUGUGCAAAAGUCUUAAGUCUUCUCAUUUAGUCUCAUUUGGUCAUUUCACGUUUGGUGGUCGUUCGAGACCCAAUUUUAAAUGUUGGUCAGAUACAGCAUCUGUAUAUUUGGUGUCAGAAUCUACAGUGUGCCUUUGAAGAACAAGGAGAGUGGCUAACACUAGACUUUCUAAUACAUUAUAAAUAUAGGAUUUCAUGGGGCUGUCAUGUAGAGUUUCUUGUCAUUGCAAUCUUUAUUGUUGUGCAUAUGAAGUGGUGACCUCCAACCAAAUGACAGCAGCUCUGCUGGUGCACCACAGAGAAACUGGAAGCACAGACUUUGGAGGACAGGCAUGCUAUUCUAUGCUCCCAUGAACUGACAGGGUUUGUUACAUAAUGGGAUAUGAGAGACAAAACAAAUUUGUUAAUAACAAACU